rnacentral:rRNA from 1 species
AGAGCCGUAACACAGGUGCUGCAUGGCUGUCGUCAGCUCGUGUCGUGAGAUGUUGGGUUAAGUCCCGCAACGAGCGCAACCCUUAUCAUUAGUUGCUACGCAAGGGCACUCUAAUGAGACUGCCGGUGGCAAACCGGAGGAAGGUGGGGAUGACGUCAAGUCCUCAUGGCCCUUAUGUCUUGGGCUUCACGCAUGCUACAAUGGCCGGUACAAAGGGCUGCGAUACCGCGAGGUGGAGCGAAUCCCAGAAAGCCGGUCUCAGUUCGGAUUGGGGUCUGCAACUCGACCCCAUGAAGUCGGAGUCGCUAGUAAUCGCAGAUCAGCAACGCUGCGGUGAAUACGUUCCCGGGCCUU